rnacentral:rRNA from 1 species
UGCCAGCCGCCGCGGUAAGACAGAGGGUGCAAACGUUGCUCGGAAUUAUUGGGCGUAAAGCGCGUGUAGGCGGUCUGGUAAGUCGGCUGUGAAAGCCCUCGGCUCAACCGAGGAAGUGCAGCCGAAACUGGCAGACUAGAGUCCCGAAGAGGGUGGCGGAAUGCCCAGUGUAGAGGUGAAAUUCGUAGAUAUUGGGAAGAACACCAGUGGCGAAGGCGGCUAACUGGCUCGGUACUGACGCUGAGAUGCGAAAGCGUGGGGAGCAAACAGGAUUAGAUA